UACGGAGGGAGCUAGCGUUGUUCGGAAUUACUGGGGCGUAAAGCGCACGUAGGCGGCUAUUCAAGUCGGGGGUGAAAGCCCGGGGCUCAACCCCGGAACUGCCCUCGAAACUAGGUAGCUAGAAUCUUGGAGAGGCGAGUGGAAUUCCGAGUGUAGAGGUGAAAUUCGUAGAUAUUUCGGAAGAACACCAGUGGCGAAGGCGACUCGCUGGACAAGUAUUGACGCUGAGGUGCGAAAGCGUGGGGGAGCAAACAGG
rnacentral:rRNA from 1 species